GGGGAGCGCUUUUGGAUCAAAUUCGGCAGGGAAUUCAGCUGAACAAGACCCCUGGGGCCCCAGAGAGCUCACCACCUCAGAGCUCAGAGGGACUGGUGGGGGCCCUGAUGCACGUGAUGCAGAAGAGAAGCAGAGCCAUCCACUCCUCCGGUGAGCUGAUCCUGCCAGGGCCUCAAACCUGGCUCCCAGGGCUAGCACUGGCCUCAAAACAAUCCCAGCAGUCACCACAAAUAGUGAUAUCAGCCCCAUCUGUUUGACAGCAUUAACAUGAAUCUUGUGUCAGCCUCCUUUUUGACAAUGUUAACAUUAA
rnacentral:sRNA from 1 species